AGGCAGAGUCCACAGCGGAGUAGGACUAGAACUGUGAAAUUGCUGAAGAACAUAAUCUGCAGAGUUGGGUAGAAAGAUAGGAGAACUAGGGUAGAGAAAGAAGCAGGUUGAAAGUCAUGGGAACCUUAAAGGGGGCUGGAAUGAUGUAGUCAACUGGAAGAGUGUGAAACUAAAACUAGCAUGCAUGAAGCCAUGGGAUUAGUCCCUGUCAUUGAUGAUGCAUAUGUCAUUCCAGGCUUACAUAGAGAGCCCUCAAGGCUAGCCUGGGCUACAUGAGACCCUGUGUCAAAAACCAAAUCAAAACCUAGCCAAAAUACUCUUAACUAGUAAUGUGUUAUAAGUAAAAAUAUUCAGGAAGAUUAAUGGGAUUACUCACAUUUUAGUUUAGGAAUAAAAGAAUCAACAUAUACAAGAUGUUUUUAAAGGAACAAUGAAGAAUAAAAAUUAAUUUGCUUCAUGGGAAUACCCAAAUUCACAUUUUUGAUAAGGUCACUGGACGGAUUAGUUACCCAGUUAUUUAAACCAUUCACUUCUUUUGUUUGGUCCUCAAUGGGCUUAUAAGUGAUAAUGAGUUUGAGGACAGUGUAACCCAAACAAAACUAAACAAGUAGAUAAUACUUAUUCAGCUUACGGU
rnacentral:lncRNA from 1 species